CACUCCUUCCCAUUCCGAACAGGAAAGUUAAGGUCUAUAGCGCCGAUGGUACUGCAUGGGAGACUGUGUGGCAGAGUAGGACGUUGCGAGGU
rnacentral:rRNA from 1 species